UUGCACUUCCAUUACAACAUUGAUCCCUCUGGAUUACAAAUCAUUGUGUGUGCUGUCUUUCCCACAAGAUGACCAGCUCCUUGAGGACAGGGAGUCUGUUACUUAUUUGAGGGUUCCCAAAGCCUAGCGAUAAUAGCCUGCUACAGAGUAGACAUUUCAGUGUAUGUUGCUGAAUUCUACUGAAAGGAUUUACAGAAACUCAAGGUAGUGAUUUUCGACAACUGUUCACUUUGGUGUGUAAAACAGACAAAGAAAAUGAAGGAAAGAGGAUUCAAAUCCGGAAGUCUCCUAUCCCAUUAUUCUACAAGGAGUGUUGGUGAUUGCACUGAAAUGCCAUUUUUAAAGAAAGAAGGGCUUCUGGACUGAAAACUGGGGCAAUGUAGGAACUGUAACCGCAUAAUAGCUGCUGGUCAGUGCAUCCAUCCAAAUGGAACAAAGUACAAAAGCCACCCUGUCCCCAAAGUAAGCUUUAGAAGUGCCAGAGAAAUGAUAAGAAAAUGGCCUGUGCUCAACAAACUGCAAUUAGGACAUGACACUGAAGAUCCUCUCCCACAUGUUCUCCCAGGCUUGCAUGACAUGGUAAGGAACCUCCACUUGCCAUCCUUCCUCCUGCUAAAGAAAUGGAUGUUUCCCACCACUGACUAUGAGGUCUACCCCUCCUCUCCAAUAGGGUCAGGCAGUCCACAGACCCUGGGCACCCACCUCCGAAGGCUCAAUAUUCCUAAAUCAACCCUUUAGUAAUGUUAUUUAUUUAUUACUAACUGGGAAACAGCCUUUGGAGAGAGAGAAAUAGACAGGUGCAAAGGAAAAACAACGGUUUGUUCUAUGUUUUGUUCUGUCAGCAUUUAUACUUAAUUUUACCAGUCCAAAUGGUGGUAACUUUUCUAAUGGACAAAGAAAAUUUAUUUCUCCUGCUAGUUUGAUUUUAACUGGGAAAAUAAAGAACCCCAACAAAGCCUAACACGAAAGAGUUCAGACCUAGGAAAGGGAAUAUACUGGCCCAGAAAAUGAGCUCUAUUACGUUCACGUGUUAUUUCUAAUAUACAUAAAAAUACUCUGAAGAAAAAAGAGGACACUUCAACCAAAAAAUGAAUAAGCAAAUUGUGGUAUAGUCAUCCAGUGGAGCAUUACGCAGCCAUAAAAAAUAAUUAAGUACUGGUUCAUGCUACAACAUGGAUGAAUCUGGAAAACAGUAUGCUAAGGGAAAGAACCCAGACACAAAAGGCCACACUGUAGAAUUGCAUUUAUAUGCAAUAUUCCGAAUAGGUAAACACAUAGAGACAGAAAGCAUAUUGGUGGUUGCCAGGGACGGGGGAAGUGGGGAACAGGGGGGGACUGCUUAAUGGGUAGGGGGGUUCUCUUUUGGGAUGUUUUGAAACUAGACAGAGGUGGUGAUUGCACAACAUUGUUAAUAUACUAAAUGCCACUGAAUUUUCCACUUUAAAAUGGUUACAUGGUUUUAAAUAGCUUAUGUGAAUUUCACCUCAUUUAAUCUUUAAAAUAAAGAAUACUAAUGGACAAAACAAAGAUGCAUACAGCAUGUAAAUCGACAAGCCCAUGAACUCCUACGGGAAAGAUAAGUAUGUCUGCUGGGACUCUGCUUCUACUCUUGAUCACAUCGCAAGGUUCAAGUGCUAGGGGCUGUAUAGAUUCUGCCAUCAUGUGUGUGUCUUUCUGAAAAGACAGGGAAGGGAACAGAAAGUGAAGAAAAUAGAAUGGGAAGGCCUUGCCAAACGCAAGCAAAGGAGGGGUGAUUACCCCUAGUGCACCCCACCCAACUUGGCACCAGGAGUAAUGCUCCCAUUAAGGUUUCGAAACGCCAGCCAGAGCUGGAAUCAACACAAGCCAGCUUCUCUGCCUGGAUAAAAAGCCAGCCCCCCAGCAAGAAGAGCUCCAUUUGGGGUGCUCCAGGAGGCUAGCCCCGGUCAGCGUCAGCGACGGGCUCUCCCCGGCCGGCCCGCCGAACAGUCAAAGCUUAUUGGAACCUCUCCUCCUCAGGGGUCCCGGUCCACUUCAUCCCACCUGCCUCCCAAGGGUCCUGCCUCCAACCACGAUUAAAAAUGGUGCCCUCAGAACUUGCCCCUGUUUCAGCCUGAACUAAAUACCCUCAGCCCCUCCCCGCUCUGGCUGGCUCGGGAGCCCACGGACCCGACCCGCGCGGACGUGCACGCGGCGCCGCUGCUCGGAGACUUGCUCCACGGGGAACACGGAUGCCCCCCACAUGCCCCCGGGGCCUGGCAGCACUAUCCGGUCACAGGCGUCCCGGCCCACCUGACCUAACAGCCGUCUCAAAGGCCCGCACUCGCUUGGCACCACGCCUCUGCCGACCUGCCAGAAACCAAAACAGGUGUCCCUCAGCUACACCCCGACGCCCCCUGAGGUCCUGGCCCCUCCACGCACAGGGGUCCCUCUCCGGACCCCUCAACUCCUGGCAACAGCACUCCCUCAGCCCCUCCAGCUAGCAGCGAGGCCGUCUCCAGCCUCCUCCAGCCGGGCCUCGACGACCCCCAGGCUCCCAGCCGGGCCCGGACGCCCCCUCCCCCUUACCUGCGGGGGUUCAGCCCCGGCUGACAGGGGGCCGGGCAGCGCCUGGAGGAGCAGGAGCGCCAUGCCACCCAGGAGCCUUCUCCUCUCCAUCCCCCUCCUGCUCCUGCUCCUCCGCCACGGCGCCGCCACCACCCUCC